UCACAGGUCUUUCUUGUGUGUACUAUAUGCCAUUACUCAUGCACUCUACAAUAGAACGAUCACACCAGGGAAUUAAUGCUUUGAAGGCGCUUAUAUCAAUCUAGUCUGAUGAGGCCAUCCAUAAUCUGGAGUCUGAGGAGAAAUAAACCACGAAAGACCCUGACCGGAUAAAGAAACCAUGUACAAUUCCUUAAGUGCAUCAAUAUUUAAUUUGCUUAUUAGUCUACCUUUGCACCUGAGCGCUAGGCUCCCUUCAUCCCUAACCAAUGCAAUAUAAGAGCCAUGACUAACCUUUCCUGCACUCUAACAGAAAUGUGUGUUAUGUGCUAUGGUGACCUUUUACAGUUGAGUGAACGCGGUAAAAGAGUGCAGCCUCCUCUCAGUUAGUGAAAGGGCCAUUGUGGUAGAAGCAGCCAGCUGCUCUUCUAUCUCCGGUCUCAGUGAUGGUUAAUGAGAUUAGCUGUUCGUCUUGGUCUGCGUCAGUGCCAAGGGGGUCAAUCACAGGAUUAGCACCUUGCUCAGUAGUUGCAUCGUUUUAUUACUUUUUUUUUUCUCCCUCUUGUUACUUUCCCACUUCGGUACUUUUAUUUCUUUCAGAACCACCAAAGCAUGUUCAGUGGCCGGAAUUGCAUUUUAGUUCUUGGAGUGGAAUUUUCUGGCUCUGAGACUGAGUCAGUCUCAACCCUCAGCUACUGAAUGAAGCAUCUUCCAGGGGGAGAAGAGGAGCGGGGGCAGCCACAAAAGUGAAAGGCAGCUGGGCCAAAAUCUUGCCUGCUGUGGCAGAGUGUGACACUCUGGACAAGUCGUCCUCAUGCCACUUGUAAAUAACAAAGUAGGUGAUGAUUGCACGGUUGGCACGGACAAGGCUUUGGCUGAUGGAAAGGCUCUGGUGGAUUCCUUGAUUAAGGUGGUGGCAUGUUACCGGCAGCUGGCCUCAUGUGUCGGCGGGUGCACAGACAGCUUGCAGCUGCGAGAUGAGUUGCGGCAAACACGAGAAAAGGCCCAAAUGUUGGCCAUGUCAAUCUGCAGUCAUUUGACCUCACAUCUCCGUAACAGGAGCCUGCCUGAGGGGCAGCGUAAGGAGAUGGAGCUCCUCUGGGUGGCCUUCUCCUCCAGCCUAGAGCUCCUCCAUGUUGACAUGUGCAAAGUUUUCUAUGUGGCUGAAAUCUUUGCUCUGGCCAACACUGAUGCACUGGUAAAAACUGGCGUACAAGGUGGAGGCAGUGAGAUGGUGGCCCGGGCACUCAGUCUGCCAGACCUGAACCAGACCCAGAGUCCAACCCUUCCCGCUGAGCUGGAGAGCCAGGAGCGCAGCACCAUGGAGCGUGAGAUCAGCCAAAUCGACCGCAUGAUCGACGACAUGGAGAUGAAGGUGAACGUGCUGCGCUGGAUGGUGGAGCCCCACGGGCCACAGCGCGCAGACCCGCUCAGCAGCACCGACAGCUCCUCCCUGGGUCUGCUCUCCGUCGACGAGGAGCAGCCUGGACCCCGGCCUCUGUGCCAGCGCAGUCAAAUCUUUGUGCUCUUAUUGAUGUCUGCUGUAGUUUUGGUGUCAGCCACUUUGUCUAUCUGUAUUGUCUUUUUCUCAUGAGCAAAAUCAACUAAUCACAUGUCUUGGAUUGGUAAUGUUCAGUAACACUGACAGAAAUAACUACUUCAGGUACAGUAGUUUUCUCUUUCCAUAGUCGCUCCAAAAAGGAACUACAUUUUUGUAAUUGCAGCAAAAUGAUCUGCUAGAGUGAAGUUUAAUUUGCCUAAAGACACAUUGAAAUAAAUCAGGAGUUGGCCAUUUAUUGCGGUAAAUCCAAAGCUAUCAUGUUCUUUGAACUGUCUUUGUUGAACAAAGUAGUUCUUUCUGUUUUACCUUACCCAAUUCUAACCUAAUAGAUUCCCCUGUGUUCUGUACAGUACACUCUCCUUUCCCCAAAACCCAGAAAGACAAAGUUACAUUUUAUUCCUUGUUGCCAUUGAGAAGACAUAGGUGCUGAUGCUUUGUAGUUAAUAUACUGUAAUAAGCAGAAUAUUCACUUCCAAUGACCAAAGUUGUUUUUUUUAAUUCAGCAUCACUUGUACGUGUAUAAAACCAUUGCAGUAGAGAAUUCACAAUGUAUAGUUUGCAUUGUAGAAGUAUGAACUUUGAUAUGUUUUCCAUAUCUGACUAGCACCUUCGGUAAUUUACCAUAUAAUUGUAUGUAAAGUGACAGCAAAUGUACAGAAUUUGAAGCGCAUUAAAGUACCGAUUAUAUUGUUUUUCUUAGGUUAGGGUUUUUUUCAACAUUGAAAAAGGUAAAUACAAUACACUUUAGUAACUGUCAUUUGAUAUUUUAUUUUUGUGAAAAAAUAAAAUGUUCGCCGAAGUUAUGAUUGAAAACAAGUUAAAAGGAUAAUUAAGAGCCAAAUCACAUUUCAACUAGUGUUUCAGUUUUAUUCUGACACAAUUUAAUAUCUUCAAGCCAAUACAAAAACAUCCAAGUAACGCCAUUUAUCACACGCACCAGCUUUAUUUUGAAGUGUGUGACCGGAAGUGGGAAAGUCAAGGGAAUUCCUACGUGACGGAACCAGGUGAAAAGUUUCGGCGGAUUGCUCGCUAUGUUCACAGGCGGAAGUGGAGCUGGAUUAACACGAGCCUCCAACAUGGGGCUGAAACAGUGCCACUCACGACUCAAACCUUUGCGUGUCAAACUCCCACAGAGGCGGUGUGACCUUUCUUUUAAUCCAAAUAGAUCUUCCAGCUUUGUGACAGCGACCGUUUCUCCAAACAUGUCGGGCUUGUCCGCUGUCAACAAAUCACCGUGUGUCCGCCGCAUCGUCAUUCCGCCUUUGAGGAAUUUUGACAAAGCGCUUUGGAGGCGAUCAGAAGGGAAGAUUAGGAAUAUUUCUGCAGUGACACAGAUGCCCACAAGAGCGCUGAGUACCUCUGUGAAAGCCCCCCAGUAUCUGAAAGCUGAUGUACCAAAGUCUGAUAGUGGGAAGCUGUUUUUUGAUACCCAUGCAGUUGUGCGGAUUUUUGAGGAAAAUGGCUUCACGACUCCACAAGCUGAGGUGAUGGUUGAAGUGCUGGUGAGAAUGACAAACUCCAACAUGAACGUCAUCUAUAAUGACAUGGUAACCAAAGUGCAGCAGGAGAUCAUGUUGCAGCGCUUGAUGUCUCAAAUAGCAUCGGUGAAGAAGGACAUGGUAAUCCUGGAGAAGAGCGAGUUCACUGCUUUACUGGCAGAAAAUGAGAAACUCAAGAUCCAGCUAUCUGAGAUCAAGGUCACACUGAUUGAUGUCAUGAAUAAAGUUCGCUCUCAUGCUAUUAUGGACAUGAAUUUGGAGAAAAACCGUGCAAGAGAAUUAAAAGUAGGGCAUGAUAAGAUGCUUCUGGAAAGGCGAGCUGAGAUUCUGGAAAUGACAGCAGACCAAGAUCGUCAUUUAAGUCAGACCAACCUAAAAAUAGACACAGAAGUGGCCGGUUUGAAAACCAUGUUAGAAUCUCAUAAACUGGACACUAUAAAAUACCUCGCAGGUUCAGUCUUCACCUGUCUCACGGUGGUGUUGGGUUUCUAUCGUGUUUGGAUGUAAGCAGGACUAUGAUUAUGAUUUUAAACUUUUAAAUUUACUGAAUCUAACAAUAAUUAGAGACCAGUUUUAUGUCAGAUGGUUACCAUUCAUCUUUCCAAUCUUUUCUCAGAAGUAGAAUAUAUAUCACUCUCAUUAUUUUAUACCCUCAGGAGGGAUAACUGUACCAUGGUUAUUUUAGGGCUGCCAGAAUGGAUCUGAUGAAUAGAAUUAAAAUAAAUAUUCCAAUUUUAUUUUUUUUAACUCAAAAAAAACAUUUUUUAAACUGAAGUUACAUUUGAAAAAUGUAUUUAUUUUGUAUGUACAGUAUAUAUCAAGCUGUUCAGGGAAGAUCAGAAAAAAAUGGGUUACAGUGACUCACAACCACUUUGGCUAUAUUACCGCAAAUAUUUAACUUGUAUCUAUUGUUAGACUUUGGUCUCAGAAAUAUUUAAUGAGAUUAAUGUAAUUUGUUAUUUGAAUUAAAUUGUGAAUAAAUAUAUACCUUUUGCCAACAAA